UGCUCUUCAGAGGCACAAUUUCCACCACCCGUCCAUUGAGACAUCGACCCCCGGCACGAGGACGAGGAGCGCGGGACAUAGAGAGGAUGAGGAUUGUCGCCGUCACCAUUCCUCCGCCAUCCUAUCUUCAGCUUCCCUGCGUGGUUUUGCUCCGCCAGAAUUUUCAGGUUAACUAUACUGAAGAGAACGUGCUGGACUACAUUGAUCCAAACAAUGAUACACUCAUGGUCAGACUUGCAGACGACCAUCUAUCCGCUCGCUAAAUGUCGCAUCAUGCUAGGAACUGACAAGAGGGGCACUAUAACCAUCAACUAUUCUGAGUUUUGUCACCGCUCCAACAUUUGUGAAGGAGACGUCUGUGCAUUUCGUCUCAGGAUCACUUCAAAGUGCCGCCUCGUUCUCACUGUGCACCGCCUCUAGAUGCACCAUGGAAGACACUGCAGCCCUGUGUCAAUAUAAUCUAUUAUAAUGUAGCACUAAGCCUCUUAAUUAUGCUCUAUCCUGUGAUAACCUAUGGUUUCCUUUUGGCCCUCUUAUCACAUACUUUUCAAGACGCUAAAUCUAUGUUGUUGCUUAUGUAAAGUGCACCAUUCUCAGACA